rnacentral:tRNA from 1 species
UUUUUAAUACUCGCAGUGGACCGGGUUGUCCGGGGUUCAAGUCCCCGCGGCG